GUAUUUUAAAGAACUAAACUCUGAGCUGGUUGCUUCAGAAGUCAAAACUCAAAGUGACUUAAAUAAACUAAGGAUGGCGCCAGCAAGACAACACAGUUUAAAAUACGAUCUGAUGAAAUCCAGGAGCAACCCAGACUUCCCAAAGGACCAUGCUACUCUUACGCAGACCGUCAGAUCCAAGAGUCUUAAAGAUGGACUCACAGUUCAGGAGAGGAUGAAGCUUUUUGAAUUAACCAGCACGCAAAAGAUUUGACUCUGUGUGUGUGCGUCUGUGUGAUAGAGAGAGAGAAAGAUAAGCAUUUUAAAGUAUUACGUGGGUUAAAUUAUUUAAUUGUAUAUCUUUAUAACACAAUGAAUUCUAACUAUACCUUUAGUCACUGGUGUGUGUGUGUGUGACCGAGAGAGAGCGAGCCUAUGUCAGUCAUUUUAAUUGUUUGUUAUUGCUUUAGAUGGUAGAAUUAAUUUUUGAUAUGACGUUGUCUCUCUAAAUCUUAAACUGUCUUUGUUUAUAUUUACAUGUUUAUGCCCGAAUGAGCAUCCAUUCAAUUUGCUUCAUCUCUAAUUAUGAAUAAAGUCAAGCUUUUCCAAUC